AACGAACGCUGGCGGCAUGCCUAACACAUGCAAGUCGAACGAGACCUUCGGGUCUAGUGGCGCACGGGUGCGUAACGCGUGGGAACCUGCCCUUAGGUUCGGAAUAACUCCCCGAAAGGGGUGCUAAUACCGGAUAAUGUCUUCGGACCAAAGAUUUAUCGCCUUUGGAUGGGCCCGCGUUGGAUUAGCUAGUUGGUAGGGUAAAAGCCUACCAAGGCGACGAUCCAUAGCUGGUCUGAGAGGAUGAUCAGCCACACUGGGACUGAGACACGGCCCAGACUCCUACGGGAGGCAGCAGUGGGUAAUAUAGGACAAUGGGCGAAAGCCUGAUCCAGCAAUGCCGGGUGAGUGAUGAAGGCCUUAGGGUUGUAAAGCUCUUUUACCCGGGAUGAUAAUGACAGUACCGGGAGAAUAAGCUCCGGCUAACCCCGUG
rnacentral:rRNA from 1 species